AUAUGUGACCCAAUUUUGAUUUUGCUUACAAGUACAUAUAUUUUCUUCCAAAAUUCAUGAAAGAAUUGACAUUUGAGAAAAAAGUGUUCGUAAUCUUCAGUCAAGUUACACAAGUCACACAUACUUGUUUCUUGUAUGUGCCAUUGUAGUAAUAAUUGUUUACAUGGGAGGAUGUAAUGGAGUAAUUUCCAUCUUAACAUUUUAUAUUUGUUAUUUAUUAAAUAGGUAAAAGUAAAUUGUAGCACAUUAUUUAUUGGAGUGAUUGAUUCUAGAUUGAAGAUGUUUUUCCAUUUGGAAAAUCCUAUUGGUCUCUCAUCAUUUUUGUUAUU
rnacentral:lncRNA from 1 species